rnacentral:rRNA from 1 species
UACGAAGGGGGCUAGCGUUGCUCGGAAUCACUGGGCGUAAAGGGUGCGUAGGCGGGUCUUUAAGUCAGGGGUGAAAUCCUGGAGCUCAACUCCAGAACUGCCUUUGAUACUGAGGAUCUUGAGUUCGGGAGAGGUGAGUGGAACUGCGAGUGUAGAGGUGAAAUUCGUAGAUAUUCGCAAGAACACCAGUGGCGAAGGCGGCGACCUGGUCCGGGACUGACGCUGAGGCGCGAAAGCGUGGGGAGCAAACAGG